CCUACGGGAGACAGCAGUGAGGAAUAUUGGUCAAUGGGCGCGAGCCUGAACCAGCCAAGUAGCGUGAAGGAUGACUGCCCUACGGGUUGUAAACUUCUUUUAUAAAGGAAUAAAGUGAGGCACGUGUGCCUUUUUGUAUGUACUUUAUGAAUAAGGAUCGGCUAACUCCGUGCCAGCAGCCGCGGUAAUACGGAGGGUCCGUGCGUUAUCCGGAUUUAUUGGGUUUAAAGGGAGCGUAGAUGGGUUGUUAAGUCAGUUGUGAAAGUUUGCGGCUCAACCGUAAAAUUGCAAUUGAUACUGGCAGCCUUGAGUACAGGUGAGGUAGGCGGAAUUCGUGGUGUAGCGGUGAAAUGCUUAGAUAUCACGAAGAACUCCGAUUGCGAAGGCAGCUUACUAGUCUGCCACUGACGUUGAUGCUCGAAAGUGUGGGUAUCAAACAGGAUUAGAUACCCGAGUAGUC
rnacentral:rRNA from 1 species